AGGAGGGAGUUGAUCAAACGAACCCUAGAUUUUUAUAGAAUGCUACAGUGAUCUAACAAAGCAAAAACGCCGUUCCUCUCCUCACUCCAUCUCCCGAAUUCGCCGUCUGACGCCCUACCCGACGCGUUCCUCCGCACCCGAUCGAUCCAGCGCCGCUCCAUCAGACGCUUGCGGAAGCCGCCGAACUCCUCUACUCCUCACCUGAAGCUAACCGGUUACUCCCCACUCCAAAUCGAUGCUCCGCCAGAGUCGAUCUUCGGCCAGGGGAAGGAUCCGAGCCCUAGUGUUGCGGGAGUUGGUUGCGAUUGCCGUUCCAGAGGGGCUGUCUCUGUCCCCUGUAUCCUAAUACGAGUUUUCCUUGUCAACUUCCUACCUUCCCAAACUCUUCAGCCGCUUGUGGUGGUCUCCAUCACAGAGGGAGCUGUCGACACUGUGGUAAGUGGCUGGCAGUGGUUUCGUUAUAGCUUCAGCCGUGAAUUUCUAGCAGCAUUAACAUUCGGCUAGCAGUUUUCCGGCAGCCAUCCCUCUUGGCAGUAGGUCAACAGGGAAGAUCUUGUGAUAGGGUAGCCGAUAGAUAAUACAAGAACUCUUGGAGGAUCUUGACUGCUGGUCUCACGUCACAUUCGAGGACAGACUUUCGGGUUUUGAUGAGGCUUUGCUUUUGUUUGAUUUUAUGAAUUUGGUUCUGUAAUAAUUUGAUGUGGAUUUGGAACUUAGUCUUGUGGUUGCAUGUAGUUUGAUUUGUUGGUAUUGUGUCAAGCCGGGCCGGCUCGCAUGUGGUUAUUUGGUGGGUUUGUGAUGGUUGUUUUGUGACUUCCGCUGUUCUUUUGUUUCAGCCGAGUGAGCUACUUAUAAACUGCGUGGUUGUGUUUA